rnacentral:rRNA from 1 species
ACCUCCCACCCGUGUUUAUUUUACCUUGUUGCUUCGGCGAGCCUGCCUUUUGGCUGCCGGGGGACAUCUGUCCCCGGGUCCGCGCUCGCCGAAGACACCUUAGAACUCUGUCUGAAGAUUGUAGUCUGAGAUUAAAUAUAAAUUAUUUAAAACUUUCAACAACGGAUCUCUUGGUUCCGGCAUCGAUGAAGAACGCAGCGAAAUGCGAUACGUAAUGUGAAUUGCAGAAUUCAGUGAAUCAUCGAGUCUUUGAACGCACAUUGCGCCCUCUGGUAUUCCGGAGGGCAUGCCUGUCCGAGCGUCAUUGCUGCCCUCAAGCACGGCUUGUGUGUUGGGCUCCGUCCUCCUUCCGGGGGACGGGCCCSAAAGGCAGCGGCGGCACCGCGUCCGGUCCUCAAGCGUAUGGGGCUUUGUCACCCGCUUUGUAGGACUGGCCGGCGCCUGCCGAUCAACCAAACUUUUUUCCAGGUUGACCUCGGAUCAGGUAGGGAUACCCGCUGAACUUAAGCAUAUCAAUAAGCGGAGGAAAAGAAACCAACAGGGAUUGCCCCAGUAACGGCGAGUGAAGCGGCAAGAGCUCAAAUUUGAAAGCUGGCUCCUUCGGGGUCCGCAUUGUAAUUUGCAGAGGAUGCUUCGGGAGCGGUCCCCAUCUAAGUGCCCUGGAACGGGACGUCAUAGAGGGUGAGAAUCCCGUAUGGGAUGGGGUGUCCGCGCCCGUGUGAAGCUCCUUCGACGAGUCGAGUUGUUUGGGAAUGCAGCUCUAAAUGGGUGGUAAAUUUCAUCUAAAGCUAAAUAUUGGCCGGAGACCGAUAGCGCACAAGUAGAGUGAUCGAAAGAUGAAAAGCACUUUGAAAAGAGAGUUAAAAAGCACGUGAAAUUGUUGAAAGGGAAGCGCUUGCGACCAGACUCGCUCGCGGGGUUCAGCCGGCAUUCGUGCCGGUGUACUUCCCCGCGAGCGGGCCAGCGUCGGUUUGGGCGGUCGGUCAAAGGCCUCUGGAAGGUAACGCCCCCUCGGGGGCGUCUUAUAGCCAGGGGUGCAAUGCGGCCUGCCCGGACCGAGGAACGCGCUUCGGCUCGGACGCUGGCAUAA